rnacentral:rRNA from 1 species
CAUACUGUAAACGAUGAUUACUAGGUGUGGGGGGACUGACCCCUUCCGUGCCGGAGUUAACACAAUAAGUAAUCCACCUGGGGAGUACGACCGCAAGGUUGAAACUCAAAGGAAUUGACGGGGGCCCGCACAAGCAGUGGAGUAUGUGGUUUAAUUCGAAGCAACGCGAAGAACCUUACCAGGUCUUGACAUCUCCUGCAUACCAUAGAGAUAUGGGAAGCCCUUCGGGGCAGGAAGACAGGUGG